CGCUACCGUAUUCACAAAACUUUGAAAAACUCGUUUUCCCACUACUGCACCUGUUUCGCUACAUUCCUUAUCAUUUGCCAAAGUGAGUACCCGUCACAUUAUCGGGACACAGUCUUAUCACUCCGCCAGGUUCGUGUUAAUCGAGAUAAACUUCCACUGAUAAGAAGCCGAGCAAGGGAAGCGGCUUCAGGUUUCUCGCCGAGAUCCACUCUGAACCAGACUCCAGCAUCUAGACUUCUAUAAAAAAACAUCUAGAUUUGUGUUGAAGUAGAAAUCGUCGUUGAGUUGAUGCUACAGAGUUCAAGAAGACAAAUAUUUGGAAAUUUCAUUAUUCAAGGUGUAGCUCUUACUUUACCCCUUAAGGAAUGAAUUUUUCAAGUGAGUUCCUUAGUGAACACCUGGGACCUAAGGGUAACUCGGUAACUUCACUGCGAAAUUUCAACUUUCUAGGUCAGAAAGUUUCGAAGACGUACAUAGUGAUCAGCGGGGAAAAAUGCCAGGCUGCGCGCCGAUCAACACCGUCGGCCAAUAGAUUCGCGGAGAUCGAGAUUUAUCAUUACAGUAAAAACGUCGAUAAAAUGUAACGACAAAAAAAAUAAAUAUAAACAAUAAAAUGUAUCUUGAAAUGUC